rnacentral:siRNA from 1 species
CACAGAUCUGUCUAUCCAGGGCCU